CCAGGUGUAGCGGUGAAAUGCGUAGAGAUCUGGAGGAAUACCGGUGGCGAAGGCGGCCCCCUGGACAAAGACUGACGCUCAGGUGCGAAAGCGUGGGGAGCAAACAGGAUUAGAUACCCUGGUAGUCCACGCCGUAAACGAUGUCUACUUGGAGGUUGUGCCCUUGAGGCGUGGCUUCCGGAGCUAACGCGUUAAGUAGACCGCCUGGGGAGUACGGCCGCAAGGUUAAAACUCAAAUGAAUUGACGGGGGCCCGCACAAGCGGUGGAGCAUGUGGUUUAAUUCGAUGCAACGCGAAGAACCUUAC
rnacentral:rRNA from 1 species